AUUAAUAUAACAUUGUAGGUUCACUGAAAAAAAUGAAAAAAAAAAAAUAAUAAGAGAGCAAGUGUAUGAAACACCCAGCAUUCAGCAAGAUCUCAAUAAACGUUAGUCCCUCUGCAGCAAAUAAAAUGGUCUAGAACUGUUAAGGCAGGUAGUGAGUUGCCCAUUACUUGCAACAUUCAAGUCGGAGCUCCGUGACCAUUUAAUGAAGAUCGUUUUACGCAGAGUAAAUUGGGCUGGGACUAGGGCGAGGCAAGAGAAGUGCCCAAGACAGCAGGCCCCAAAAAGCUGGCCAUGGCUCCCAAGUGGUGGACCCUUCUCCAGUGAGCUGAACACUAGGCUUUCGGCAUAAAGAGAGACUCAGAAGGCCCGAAGGUCCAUGCCCUUGAACACAAGGAAGAAAAGGAGGCAUAGACUCUGAGCCUCAGUGGGCCCAUCUCGCACCCCCUCCAAUCUUUCACCUUCCUCACCUCCUCCCCAAGCCUGGAUUCCUCCCUUUUCCUCUCCUUUCUCCAGUCCUGCCCUGAUUGUAGCAGGGCCCAACAGGAAACCUGAGCCCCUCUCCCUCCCUGGUUCUACCUUGAAACCUCCUUUGGAAGGCAGAUGUGGGGCAGCCUUUUAUUCUCUGGCCUGUUUAUUCUGUGAGGCCAUGAUGGAAAUCUUGGGAGGACCCAAUACCACCAACUGGCAGGAGCCCAGAUCUGAUCAUCACAGAAGCCUCCAGCCCAUCCAACCUUCAUGAGGCCUUGAACCCCAAACAAGCUCUGUGUGCAAGCCUCUUAAGAUAGGGAGCUCACCACCUCCCUCACAUGGCCUGGUCCGUGAAGCCCAGAGUCGUCUCUCUGACGAUAUCUACUGCCUUAUCUUAAGUGUCUGCUGUGUGUCAGGCCUUUGCCAGGACUGAGGGUACAGGGACAAAGCAUAAAGGCCUUCCCUCGUGGAACUUAUGUUCCAGUGACCGACAGUCUGCAAAUACAUGGAGGAAUUGUGGGUACAGAUGGUGACGGGCACCGUGAAGAAACAGAGGCCACAUAAAGACAGUGCGAGGGGCCGCUACACAUGUGAUCAGCAAGCCUCUCUGAGGAGGUAACAUCUGAGUAGAGGCCUGAAUGAAAGAGGCCAGGAGGGAGGAAGAAUGUCCGGAGCAGAAGGAACAGCGAGUACAAAGGCCCUGAGGUAGACACAAGCUUGGUGUGAUGAUGCUGAGACAGCAAGGAGGCCACUGUCGCCAGAGCAAAGGGAGCAAAGAGGGGACAGAGUUCAGGGAGGCAGCCAGGAAGCUGAGAUUCCAGGCUGUCUGUUGCCUGAGCCAAGGACACCAAUUCUCCAGGAAAUGGGCAGGAAAAGGAUUUGCAAACUGUCCCGUGCAACGCAGAUCACAAAGUUGCACAACUCUGAGGAACAGUGAAGGCUAUAAAGCCGCACCGUCACAGGAGAGGACAUGGGACAGGGCUUAUAGGACGCCCGCAGCAUUCCACCUCUGCCUGCUUGAAGGGCACGAGGCGGGGAUGGGACACUCGCCGAACAUUCUGGGAAGCCAGGGCUACGCUCUGCCUGCCAUUCAUUCCUGCUGCUCCUACCAGUGCCUCCUUGAUCCUCCUGAGGAUUCAGGUCAGCAGGUUUGCACGACCUCGGCUGGUCAUGGAUGCAACGGGGACAGACUGUCCUUUGUGCACUCGGGGCUGCCUGGGGGUGCAAAUGUGUGCUGGCUCUUCCUGGAAGAGGAUGGGCCCAUGGCUGCAGCCCCAGCAUACCUGGGCAUGGGCCCUCGAGACGGACCAGGAAACUAAGGCUCAGAGAGGGGCCGUGUGUCCAAGUGGCUGCCUCUGCCAAGGAGAGAAUCUGGGACUCAGACACAGGUCCACCAACCCCAGAGUCCACACUGGUCAGCUCCAGCCUGCCAGAGACAGGAGAGGGCCCUCGCCCCAGCCUGGCUCUGCCCCAACCUGCUGGCAGCACUUGUAUCCGGUCAGGAGGUGUGUGUGGUGUGCAAGAACGGAAGAGGAGGCAGCACAAAGCUCAGCAAGGCUCAGCUCUGGCACUGCCCCUUCCCGGAGGCCUUCCUGACCACCAUUAGUGGCCGGGCCUUGCCUGGGAGGGCCCGAACCCUGGCAUCACUCGGCACAGGGCUGAGCACAGAGGGGACGAGAAUCAGAGCGAAGUGAACAUUGGACAGGAGGUAACCCCCAGACACCUCAACCUACUCCCAGCAUGCCUCUGUCCAUCCCCCCGAAGAGACAGGUCUGGUAAGCCCUGCAGGUCAGGAACGCCAUGCUGGGACAAAGGAACCUUAUCUUGGGGGCACUGGGGAGCCAUCGCUGUUUGGGGACUGAGGAGUUGUAUGCCCGGAGCUGAGAGCUGAACAGACUGCCCUGGAGCCAGAAAACAGCCAGACAGGCCUGGACUGAGACCUAGAAGGCAGGCCCUCCUGUGGUUUAUUCAGAACCUCUGCCUACACAACUAAAGAAGGAUCCAUCCAAGCAAAGACUGGCCUGCGGUGUCCCCUGCAGUACAGUUUAUAAGAACAGAACAACCUGGAUGUCCAUCAAUGAGGGACCCAGUAGAUAAACCAAGGAACUCGACUGCUGCCUGGCUGUAGAUACAGGAACAAAGCAAGUUACAACCUGCUGUGAGCUAAUGGACCCUAUUCUCUAUAAAAGUAUACAUUAGCGGUUGCCUGGGCUGGGUGUGGAAGGCUGGGUGUGGACCAGGGAGCAGUUGUAAAUAGAGGGGAUGAAAAUGUUCCACAACUAACUGGUGAUGGUCAACACAACUUGGUCAAUGUAAAAAUUUAUUGUACACUUAAAAUGGGUAAGUCUUACGAAAGGUAAA